GUAUGAAAAAAUGAUAUUGUUGUAGAUCAAUUAAAUUUAGAAGAUGGUGAUGAUGAUGCACAACUCAACCCUAUGGAGAAUGUGAACCUAGUUGAAGACAACGUUAGUCAAGCUUUGGACUUAAAUGGUGAAGAAAUGGAACCUCAAUAUGAAACAACUUUGACUCAUUGAUGUUAAAGUUUUAAAUAUAUAAUAUGAUUUGUAGACUGAGUUAUGAACUUGCGUCAUAUGUUUCGAGUUUGUUAAGUAAGACAAGUACUUGUGGAUUACUAUUUGUAUUUGUAAUUUAGACUUUGGAUUUAUUAAAGUUGUUUGUUUAUGAGAAUUCUUACUUU
rnacentral:lncRNA from 1 species